rnacentral:lncRNA from 1 species
GGCAACUACUCCUCCCACUAGGUGUGCAAAGUUGGUAGAGAAGUAUCCAAACAGACUCAAUGCUGUAAUUCAAGCAAAAGGUGCUUCCUGCAAGUAUUAACUCAGGGGGUGUUCUCUUAGCCAACCCAGUUAUUCUACUGUUUUUAUUUUAAUUUUUCACUUGGAUGUUGCAAAGUACAAUUUGUGAAUAAAACUGGAAAAAGUCUGAUUUUAUUUGUCUUCUUUUUGGGCUUUAGGGCAACAAAAGUUGAACAUUUUGAAAGGGGGUGGUGACUUUCUAUACCCACUGUAAGUGUAAGCAGUUAUUAUCACUAAUGAUGUCUAGCUUUAGACACAGUUACUGCAGAAGCACAUUCCGUUUUGAGAGUAAAUAAAUACCGUGCUUCAAGACGAGGAACAAUUUAAGGCAGUCCAGCCUGUGGCAUCAGUCCAAAGCAAUCGCCAGCUGUCACUGACUGGAGCUGGAGCCAGGAAGUCCGGGACAGUUCUGACUCCUUCACAUCUUGACAGCAAACCGAAAGAGGAACAAUUUAGACAAGCACACUUACAUCCCUAAAUCCCACUAUUUGACAAGGAAGCAGCAGUUCCCGUCAACUGAAACUGACCGUUCUGCCACUCCCUCUGUACAAAGGUGGCUCCUUCAGAGCAGAGCUUCCUGUCAGCAGAUGAGGAUUUCACUCCUCCUUCUCUGUGAUGUCAAACCAGAGAAACUGCAAGUGAAGAGGCUCGGCCGGAGAGCAGAGAGACUGCAACUCAGCUCAGUUCGUCACCUUUUGCACAGAAACAUGGGCUCCAGCAGGGACUGUAGCAGCAGCACCAUGAAGCAGAAAAGUCCCCCGAAGAGGCCGGAGGCGUCAGGGAGCCGCCAGCGGAGAUCAGGAAAGCACAGCCCAGCAGCCCAGGGGCCCGCCUCCCCCCCAGCCAGCACCCCGCCCAGCCAGAAGCCCAGCCUCGCCUCCGAGGAGGAGAAGGAGACACUCCCUGUAGGAAGCUCCGGCAGGGCAGCCCGGGAGGAGGAGGAGGAGGACGAAGAGGUGGAGACGUGCCCAGCCAAUCAUCAGCCACCACUCAAGAAACAGAGCAGAUCGCAGAAAGGUGAGGCAGAGGGACAGCAGGACAACAGGACAGCAGGGCUCAGGACAGUGGGACAGCAGCAGGACAGCAGGGCUCAGGACAGUGGGACA